GCCAGUGACUGGGGUGAAGUCGUAACAAGGUAGCCGUAUCGGAAGGUGCGGCUGGAUCACCUCCUUU
rnacentral:ncRNA from 1 species